AUUGAACGCUGGCGACAUGCCUUACACAUGCAAGUCGAACGGCAGCACGGGUGCUUGCACCUGGUGGCGAGUGGCGAACGGGUGAGUAAUACAUCGGAACAUGUCCUGUAGUGGGGGAUAGCCCGGCGAAAGCCGGAUUAAUACCGCAUACGAUCUACGGAUGAAAGCGGGGGGCCUUCGGGCCUCGCGCUAUAGGGUUGGCCGAUGGCUGAUUAGCUAGUUGGUGGGGUAAAGGCCUACCAAGGCGACGAUCAGUAGCUGGUCUGAGAGGACGACCAGUCACACGGGAACUGGAACACGGCCAAGAUUCUUAGGGGAGGAAGCGGGGGGAAAUUUUGGCCAAGGGGGGAAGGCCUGUUCAGCAAUGCCGCGUGUGUGAAGAAGGCCUUCGGGUUGUAAAGCACUUUUGUCCGGAAAGAAAUCCUUGGCCCUAAUACGGUCGGGGGAUGACGGUACCGGAAGAAUAAGCACCGGCUAACUACGU
rnacentral:rRNA from 1 species